rnacentral:rRNA from 1 species
UACGUAGGGUGCAAGCGUUGUCCGGAAUUAUUGGGCGUAAAGAGCUCGUAGGCGGUUUGUCGCGUCGGCUGUGAAAACCUGGGGCUCAACCCCGGGCCUGCAGCCGAUACGGGCAAACUAGAAUUCGGUAGGGGAGACUGGAAUUCCUGGUGUAGCGGUGAAAUGCGCAGAUAUCAGGAGGAACACCGGUGGCGAAGGCGGGUCUCUGGGCAGUAACUGACGCUGAGGAGCGAAAGCGUGGGGAGCGAACAGG